ACUUCGCUGUGACUCGUCCUUGAAUUCUUUCCUGCCAAGGAACCUCACUGGGCGGCCCGACCCAGGAACUCGCCCAAGGUCUGGGGCCUGAGCAUCCUCCCUCUCACCUGUUCUCCUGCAACACUCUGAUCACCUCACAGAGCCAUAUGCACGGCCUACAGAAAUUCCCAGGGUAGGAGUCGAACUGGAGCUGGAGCUUCCGGCCUACACCACAGCCACAGCAAUGCCAGAUCUGAGCUGCGUCUGCAACCUGCACCACAGCUCCCAGCAGCGCUGGAUCCUGAACCCACUGAGGGAGGCCAGGGAUCGAACCUGUGUCCUCAUGGAUACUAGCCAGACUGCACCUGCAGCAUAUGGAGGUUCCUGGGCUAGGGGUCGAAUCAGAGCUGCAGCUGCCAGCCCAUGCCACAGCCACAGCCACACCCAGUUGGAGCCGCAUCGGGCGCCUACGUCACAGCUUUCGGCAAGGCCACAUCCUUGACCCACUGAUCGAGGCCAGGGAUCCACCUGCAUCCUCACACACACCGCCAGGUUCUUAGCAUUGUGUGCGGAGCUGCAGUGGGAACGCCUGUAUUAGUAUUUUGGUAAGGAUUUUUGCGUCUGUUCACGAGUGAUAUGAGUGACAGUGCUGUGUAGUUUUCUUCUAAUACUUUUUGUGUCUUUUAAGGAAUGUUCCAUGUGUUAUGGACAUGUAUGUUCAUGUAUUACGAUGAUCAAAAUAUUGACAAAUCAAAUCCAGCAAUAUAUAAAAAUGAAAGUGCGUUUGACUAAAUGUUUAUCCUCGAUAUCCACGGUUUAGCCAACAUUUGAAAAUCAGUCAAUGCCGGUUCCCACAUUAAUAGAAUAAAAGUGGGAAAAAGGAUUAUUGUAAUACUUGCGGAAAAAGCAUUGGCUGCACCUGUGUCAUAUGGAAGUUCCCAGGCUAGGGGUUGAUGGGAGCUACAGGUGCCAGCCUACACCACAGCCACAACAAUGCAGGAUCGCAGGAUCGGAGCGGCGUCUGUGACCUGCACCCCAGCUCACGGCAACGCCGGAUGGCCCACCCGCUAAGCGAGGCCAGGCAUGGAACCCGCAUCCUCAGGGAUGCUAGACGAUUUGUUUCCCCUGGCCUCAACGGGAACUCCUGUUUUGUUUUUAAAGCCAUUCUGCUAGGGUAGAGGAAUGCGGCUGGGAUUCGUAUUCGCAUCUUCAUACUCAUGUACUUCUCAUAGGCUGUCCAGUGUUAGUUCAGAUCUUUGCCAUUGAAAACAAACAAAUUAACAAAACAAAACAAAGAAACUUUAGGAGUUCUCCCACAGCAGGUUAAGGAUCUGGUGUUGUCCUUGCAGCAGCUUAGGUUGCUUCCAUGGCACAAGUUUGAUCCCUGGCCUGGGAACUUCGCAGGCCUCUGGCGUGGUCAAAAAAAAAAAAAAAAAAAAAAAA
rnacentral:lncRNA from 1 species